UACGGAGGGGGCUAGCGUUGUUCGGAAUUACUGGGCGUAAAGCGCACGUAGGCGGCUUUGUAAGUUAGAGGUGAAAGCCCAGGGCUCAACCCUGGAAUUGCCUUUAAGACUGCAUCGCUAGAAUUGUGGAGAGGUAAGUGGAAUUCCGAGUGUAGAGGUGAAAUUCGUAGAUAUUCGGAAGAACACCAGUGGCGAAGGCGACUCACUGGCCCGGUACUGACGCUGAGGUGCGAAAGCGUGGGGAGCAAACAGG
rnacentral:rRNA from 1 species